AUUAAACGCUGGCGGCAUGCCUUACACAUGCAAGUCGAACGGCAGCACGGGGGCAACCCUGGUGGCGAGUGGCGGACGGGUGAGUAAAGCAUCGGAACGUAUCCUGGAGUGGGGGAUAACGUAGCGAAAGUUACGCUAAUACCGCAUAUUCUGUGAGCAGGAAAGCAGGGGAUCGCAAGACCUUGCGCUCUGGGAGCGGCCGAUGUCGGAUUAGCUAGUUGGUGGGGUAAAGGCCUACCAAGGCGACGAUCCGUAGCGGGGUCUGAGAGGAUGAUCCGCCACACUGGGACUGAGACACGGCCCAGACUCCUACGGGAGGCAGCAGUGGGGAAUUUUGGACAAUGGGCGGAAGCCUGAUCCAGCCAUGCCGCGUGAGUGAAGAAGGCC
rnacentral:rRNA from 1 species